rnacentral:sRNA from 1 species
CGAGCGUUCCUGGGGCCUCGGGUUUCCCCCCUUCCGCUGGCUGCUCGGAAUCGCGGGACGGACCCACCUGGCCGCCCUGCCUCCCUUCCAGUGGGUCCUGGCCUUCGAGAUCUUCAUCCCCCUGGUGCUGUUCUUUAUCCUGCUGGGGCUGCGGCAGAAGAAGCCCACCAUCUCCGUGAAGGAAGUCUGUAAGUGAGCGGCCACCUCCUCCUG